rnacentral:misc_RNA from 1 species
UUUCCGUAGGUGAACCUGCGGAAGGAUCAUUAACGGGAAAUCAAAUCAAAUCAAAACAAAUAUUCUGUUGCACUGGGUGUGCUGUGUGGUGGUGGUGUGAGACAUGGAGAUUCAAUCAUUGGAGAUUCAAUCAUUGGAGAUUCAAUCAUUGGGGAUUCAAUCAUUGGAGAUUCAAUCAUUCAAUCUCAAUCAUUGGAGAUUCAAUCAUUCAAUCUCAAUCAUUCAAUCUCAAUCAUUCAAUCUCAAUCAUCGCCACACAACACAACUAUCUAUCACGCUCGAUCAACAACAACACACUCACACACAACAGCAAACAACUUUUAACAAUGGAUCUCUUGGCUCUU